rnacentral:lncRNA from 1 species
CCACAGAGGCAGAAGUGGGGCCGUGCCUCGCAUGCACCAUCACGUCAUCUCCAUGACACGGACAUUUUCCCCGCUGGUCUGGUGCCUUCCCAUCACUGGCUAUAACAUGAGGGCCCACCUUGUGGUUUCAGCCUAUUUAGAAAGGACAGAUUCAUCACUGCAACUGCCUGCUUGAGUCAAAGAUACUGUGUGUCUUUAUCUCCCAGCUGCAAAAGCUGAUAAGAAUGCAGAGGUGAUGUGAUAAUUUGUAGCUGAUUAUAGGAAUUUUUGACCUACAAAUGGAGAGAGAGAGAGAGAGAGAGAAGAGAAUGAUUGCUGAUUGCUGCUAUUGUAUGUAUCUUUUUAUGCUUUUAUGUUUUUGGAUUUUGCCAGGAAAAGCGAGAAAACCCCAUCAUAUCUCCUGAGUUUGACUUUGGAAGACACAGGGAUUAAAAUAUACCAAGAUCAAAUCUCGUAAACUUGAAACAGAGCAGCACUUUGCAGGCAUGGCAGAUGCCAGCAUUUUCAACCUCACACUGCCAGCUGAAGCUCACCUCUGCUUUCACUUACUGGAUGUGUGACCUUGGGCUCUCUCUGUAAGACGCUUAAACCUGCUUCCUUCUCUGUAAAAUGUGGGUAAUAACGCUUACAUCUCAGAGUUGUUGCGUUUUCUAUAAAGCCAGCUAAGAUGGCUGACUUAGAACAUUAGCUAUUAUUAUGACUAUUCCUCAAGCUCCUGUGUACUUGGGCACUGACUCUGGAGCCAGACUUCUUAGGUUCAAAUUCAAGCUCUGCCAGUUUCUAUUUGUGUAACCUUGAAUAAAUUGCUUAACUUCUCUGCCUCAGUUUCGUUAUCUGUAAAAUGGGGAUAAUAAUAUCAUUUACCUCAUUGGGUGGUUGUGUGAAUUAAAUGGAUGAAUAUGUAUCAUGUCCUUAAAGUGGUAUUCGGCAUAGAGUAAAUACUAUGUAAGUGUUUCAUAAGUGAAAUAAAAUAAGUGAAAUACACAUAUAUUUGUGUGUACAUAUAUAUACAUAUGAAAGUGCUGGC